UACGUAGGGGGCAAGCGUUGUCCGGAAUCAUUGGGCGUAAAGAGCGCGUAGGCGGCCCUGUAAGUCCGCUGUGAAAGUCAAGGGCUCAACCCUUGGAUGCCGGUGGAUACUGCAGGGCUAGAGUCCGGAAGAGGCGAGUGGAAUUCCUGGUGUAGCGGUGAAAUGCGUAGAGAUCGGCAGGAACACCCAGGGAGAAAUCAGCCGCCUGGGCAAGUGCUGACGCUGAGGUGCGAAAGCGUGGGGAGCGAACCGG
rnacentral:rRNA from 1 species